AAAGCCUCCUUCGGGGGGCAAGUAGAGUGGCGCACGGGUGAGUAACACGUAGGUAAUCUACCUUUGGAUUGGGAAUAACCACCGGAAACGGUGGCUAAUACCGAAUAAUGCAGCGGCACCUAAUGGUGACAGUUGUUAAAGCGGGGGAUCGAAAGACCUCGCGUCUGAAGAGGAGCCUGCGGCAGAUUAGCUAGUUGGUAAGGUAACGGCUUACCAAGGCGAUGAUCUGUAGCCGGCCUGAGAGGGCGGUCGGCCACACUGACACUGACAUACGGGUCAGACUCCUACGGGAGGCAGCAGUCGGGAAUUUUGGGCAAUGGGCGAAAGCCUGACCCAGCAACGCCGCGUGAAGGAUGAAAUCCUUCGGGAUGUAAACUUCGCAAGAACGGGAAGAAUAAGUAAGGGUUAAUAUCUCUUACGAUGACGGUACUGUUUGUAAGCUCCGGCUAACUCCGUGCCAGCAGCCGCGGUAAUACGGGGGGAGCAAGCGUUGUUCGGAUUUACUGGGCGUAAAGGGCGCGUAGGCGGCCACCGCAAGUCGACUGUGAAAUCUCCGGGCUUAACCCGGAAAGGUCAGCCGAUACUGCGGGGCUAGAGUGCAGAAGGGGCAACUGGAAUUCUCGGUGUAGCGGUGAAAUGCGUAGAUAUCGAGAGGAACACCUGCGGCGAAGGCGGGUUGCUGGGCUGACACUGACGCUGAGGCGCGAAAGCUAGGGGAGCGAACGGGAUUAGAUACCCCGGUAGUCCUAGCCUUAAACGAUGAAUGCUUGGUGUCUGGGGUUUUAUAGUCCCCGGGUGCCGUCGCUAACGCUUUAAGCAUUCCGCCUGGGGAGUACGGUCGCAAGACUG
rnacentral:rRNA from 1 species